GGUUAAGUUAUAAAGGGCGCACGGUGGAUGCCUAGGCACUAGGAGCCGAUGAAGGACGUAACUAACAACGAUAUGCCUCGGGGAGCUGUAAGUAAGCUUUGAUCCGGGGAUUUCCGAAUGGGGGAACCCAAUCAUCGUAAUGGAUGAUUACUUGUAUGUGAAUAC
rnacentral:ncRNA from 1 species